rnacentral:rRNA from 1 species
UACGGAAGGCAGCAGUGGGGAAUAUUGCACAAUGGGCGCAAGCCUGAUGCAGCCAUGCCGCGUGUAUGAAGAAGGCCUUCGGGUUGUAAAGUACUUUCAGCGGGGAGGAAGGCGAUGCGGUUAAUAACCGCGUCGAUUGACGUUACCCGCAGAAGAAGCACCGGCUAACUCCGUGCCAGCAGCCGCGGUAAUACGGAGGGUGCAAGCGUUAAUCGGAAUUACUGGGCGUAAAGCGCACGCAGGCGGUCUGUUAAGUCAGAUGUGAAAUCCCCGGGCUUAACCUGGGAACUGCAUUUUGAAACUGGCAGGCUUGAGUCUUGUAGAGGGGGUAGAAAUUCCAGGUGUAGCGGUGAAAUGCGUAGAGAUCUGGAGGAAUACCGGUGGCGAAAGGCGGCCCCUGGGACAAAGACUGACGCUCAGGUGCGAAAGCGUGGGGAGCAAACAGGGAUUAGAUACC